rnacentral:rRNA from 1 species
AUUGAACGCUGGCGGCAUGCCUUACACAUGCAAGUCGAACGGUAACAGGUCUUCGGAUGCUGACGAGUGGCGAACGGGUGAGUAAUACAUCGGAACGUGCCUAGUAGUGGGGGAUAACUACUCGAAAGAGUGGCUAAUACCGCAUGAGAUCUACGGAUGAAAGCAGGGGAUCGCAAGACCUUGUGCUACUAGAGCGGCCGAUGGCAGAUUAGGUAGUCGGUGGGAUAAAAGCUUACCAAGCCGACGAUCUGUAGCUGGUCUGAGAGGACGAUCAGCCACACUGGGACUGAGACACGGCCCAGACUCCUACGGGAGGCAGCAGUGGGGAAUUUUGGACGAUGGGCGAAAGCCUGAUCCAGCAAUGCCGCGUGCAGGAUGAAGGCCUUCGGGUUGUAAACUGCUUCUGUACGGAGCGAAAAGCCCCGGGUUAAUACCCUGGGGUCAUGACGGUACCGUAAGAAUAAGCACCGGCUAACUACGUGCCAGCCGCCGCAGUAA